CCCAGGGGAAAGGCUUUCAGCACCUUAUCCAAUCCCCUCCCGUUGGUCUCGAAGUAAGCUGAGCUGGGUAAAACAAAUCAAGAACGAAGACCAGGGGCCUUUGGCAUGUAGUUGCAGGACUCAUGAUUCUUUUCGCGGGUCAGGGAUUCACUCUGAUAGUAACCCUCAACGAAUUAUAAGGUAUAUAAGGAGUAACUGUAGGAUUUAUAAGGUAUAUAAAGAGUAACUGUAGGAUGCAUUGCAUUCAAGACAUAUCCAAACAUUCCAGACUCUCUUCUUAUAUCUAUGCUCUAGUCAUAGGGUUGACCAACUCACUGCACUUACUCUAUCUAACCCUUUUGGCGCUCUCAUAGUCUAAUAACCGAUGGAUCAAAGGUCGAGGUGCGAGACUAUUCCUAUUUGUUUAACAUACAUAGUUUCCUGUAUGAAAGAAAAGCCAAAGAAAGAAUGUUACUUCAUUAUAGAUUCACCAAUCCAGCCCGCUCUCAAUGACUUGGAAUAUAGAUCACUGACAAACCCAAAGCAAUGACUUGGAAUAUGGAUCACUUAAAACACACAGCUUAUCAAGCGAAAGCAACUUACACAGCUUAUCAAGCGAAAGAAACGGAAUUCUACGCCGGUGGGCUAGCGCCUUGUUUAUGACCCAUCAGGUAAGCGCAGGACAGCUGACAUUGUUGUUAGUAAGCACCUGCUCUAAUAUGAGGGGAUUGUAAGCACCCGCUCUAAUAUGAGGGAAGUUUGCCUAAUCCAGUAUUCUAUGUAAGAACCAACUCUAGUAUCUCGGAGGGGCGAGGCUAAUUCCGUAUCCCUUACUAUAGAUUAGGAAAUCAUUGAUGUAGUCCCUUCUUCCUUUCCCUUACCCGGCUUUGAUUUAGCACUUUUGUUACAUAAGAGUCUUGCUCAAUGCGACCAUUUCAUCAGGCUCGUACUUGCUGUAACCUAUUAGAUGCCCGGUAGCCCUUCCCUUCUUCUAUUUCUAUGGUGGAUGCUAGCUUUAGGGGGGCUUGCUACCUAGAGACAAGAAAGGAUCAAAGGAAUU
rnacentral:lncRNA from 1 species